rnacentral:ncRNA from 1 species
GCCAACUUGUCGGAGUGCCAUUGGCUGAGACCGCGCUUUUAGCGGGAUCCGUUGAACCUGAAGAGGUUAAUACCUACGCAGGGAACAAGAUCAAUAGGACG